GCUCGGAUGGCGGAAUUGGUAGACGCACAGGACUUAAAAUCCUGUGAGCUUCAAGGCUCGUGUGGGUUCAAGUCCCACUCCGAGUA
rnacentral:tRNA from 4 species